CAAAAAAAAGUGUGGAGCAGCAGAGUAUUUGAUGUCUUAAACAUGUAACAUGCAGGUGUGUCAGGAGAGCAUCAUGAUAUAUAUCACUAUACAGCAAAACAUAGA